rnacentral:rRNA from 1 species
GACGAACGCUGACGGCGUGCUUAACACAUGCAAGUCGAAGGGAGUGGCGAACGGGUGAGUAACACGUGAGUAACCUGCCCUUUUCUUUGGGAUAAGCCUGGGAAACUGGGUCUAAUACUGGAUGGAUUGGGAUGGGCUCGCGGCUUAUCGGCUUGUUGGUGGGGUGAUGGCUUACCAAGGCUUUGACGGGUAGCCGGCCUGAGAGGGGGGUCGGUCACAUUGGGACUGAGAAACGGCCCAGGGUCGUACGGGGGGCAGCAGUGGGGGAUAUUGGACAAUGGACGAAAGUCUGAUGCAGCGACUGCGUGUGGGGGAUGAAGGCUUUCGGGUUGUAAACUCCUUUCGCCAGCGGAAUGGUAGUGGGUAAAGAAGCGCCGGCUAACUACGUGCCAGCAGCCGCGGUAAUUC